rnacentral:rRNA from 1 species
UGGGGAAUUUUGCACAAUGGGGGAAACCCUGAUGCAGCGACGCCGCGUGAUUUAGAAGGCCUUCGGGUUGUAAAAAUCUUUUCUAUGGGAAGAAAAUGACAGUACCAUAGGAAUAAGGACCGGCUAAUUACGUGCCAGCAGCCGCGGUAAUACGUAAGGUCCGAGCGUUGUCCGGAAUCAUUGGGCGUAAAGGGUACGUAGGCGGGUAAGCAAGUUAGAAGUGAAAUCCUAUAGCUCAACUAUAGUAAGCUUUUAAAACUGCUCAUCUUGAGGUAUGGAAGGGAAAGUGGAAUUCCUAGUGUAGCGGUGAAAUGCGCAGAAAUUAGGAGGAAUACCGGUGGCGAAGGCGACUUUCUGGCCAUAACCUGACGCUGAGGUACGAAAGCGUGGGUAGCAAAAAGG